ensembl:snRNA U6 U6 spliceosomal RNA
GUGCUUGCUUUGGCAGCACAUAUACUAAGACUGGAACGAUACAGAGAAGAUUAGCAUAGCCCCUGCACAAGCAUGACAUGCAAAUUUCAUGCUUGAAGUAUUCCAUAUGUAU